UACAGAGGGUGCAAGCGUUAAUCGGAAUUACUGGGCGUAAAGCGUGCGUAGACGGUUAUGUAAGUCGGGUGUGAAAGCCCCGGGCUCAACCUGGGAAUGCCAUUCGAGACUGCAUAGCUAGGGUGCGGAAGAGGGAAGCGGAAUUUCCGGUGUAGCGGUGAAAUGCGUAGAUAUCGGAAGGAACACCAGUGGCGAAAAGCGGCUUCCUGGUCCAGCACCGACGUUCAGGCACGAAAGCGUGGGGAGCAAACAGG
rnacentral:rRNA from 1 species